GCAUAUCAAUAAGCGGAGGAAAAGAAACCAACAGGGAUUGCCUCAGUAACGGCGAGUGAAGCGGCAAAAGCUCAAAUUUGAAAUCUAGCACCUUCGGUGUUCGAGUUGUAAUUUGAAGAUGGUAACCUUGGGUUUGGCUCUUGUCUAUGUUCCUUGGAACAGGACGUCAUAGAGGGUGAGAAUCCCGUCUGAUGAGAUGCCCAUUCCUAUGUAAGGUGCUAUCGAAGAGUCGAGUUGUUUGGGAAUGCAGCUCUAAGUGGGUGGUAAAUUCCAUCUAAAGCUAAAUAUUGGCGAGAGACCGAUAGCGAACAAGUACAGUGAUGGAAAGAUGAAAAGAACUUUGAAAAGAGAGUGAAAAAGUACGUGAAAUUGUUGAAAGGGAAGGGCAUUAGAUCAGACUUGGUGUUUUACGAUUAUCUUCUCUUCUUGAGUUGUGCACUCGUAUUUCACUGGGCCAGCAUCGAUUCGGAUGGUAAGAUAAUGACAGUUGAACGUGGCUCCAUUCGUGGAGUGUUAUAGCUUCUGUUUAUAUUGCCUGUCUGGAUCGAGGGCUGCGUCUUUUGACUAGGAUGCUGGCGUAAUGAUCUAAUGCCGCCCGUCUU
rnacentral:rRNA from 1 species